UUUUACGAGUUUCUUGCCUCCUGUCCAGCAGAGUUUUUCAAGAAAGGCAUUAAUAAGUUACCAUUACGUUGGCAAAAAUGCAUUGAUUCCAUGAGUAAUUACUUUGAAUAAUAAAAAUAAAAAAUAUAGAAAAAAA